rnacentral:tRNA from 1 species
GGGGAUAUAUCUCAAUGGGUAGAGUGCUUGCCUCACGUGUACAAGGUCCUGGGUUCAAUCCCCAGCACCACCA